rnacentral:tRNA from 1 species
UCCCGGGUGACUCAGUGCUAAAGAAUCUGCCUGCUAAUGCAGGAGACACGGGUUCGAUCCCCGGUCUGGGAA